AGAGUUGAUCAUGGCUCAGGAUGAACGCUAGCUACAGGCUUAACACAUGCAAGUCGAGGGGAAACGAUAUAGAAAGCUUGCUUUCUUAGGCGUCGACCGGCGAAUGGGUGAGUAACGCGUAUCCAACCUGCCUCUGAGUAAGGGAUAGCCCAUCGAAAGAUGGAUUAAUACCUUAUGGUUUCCUUUGAAGGCAUCGGAUUAGGAAUAAAGAUUUAUCGCUGAGGGAUGGGGAUGCGUCUGAUUAGCUUGUUGGCGGGGUAACGGCCCACCAAGGCGACGAUCAGUAGGGGUUCUGAGAGGAAGGUCCCCCACAUUGGUACUGAGACACGGACCAAACUCCUACGGGAGGCAGCAGUGAGGAAUAUUGGUCAAUGGGCGCAAGCCUGAACCAGCCAAGUAGCGUGCCAGGAUGACUGCCCUAUGGGUUGUAAACUGCUUUUAUACGGGGAUAAAGUCAGAGUCGUGACUCUGUUUGCAGGUACCGUAUGAAUAAGGACCGGCUAAUUCCGUGCCAGCCGCCGC
rnacentral:rRNA from 1 species